rnacentral:rRNA from 1 species
GGGGUUGCGGACAUAUCAUAACGAAGAGGUAUCUGAAUUGAAGAGGGUUGUAAAGACCCACCACAGAAGGUAAUAGUCCUGGAUGUUAAACGAGAAGACUUUUGAUAGGAUCCAGAGUACCACUGGAAACGUGAAACCCUGUGGGAAGCAGGAGGGACCAUCUGCCAAGGAUAAAGACGACCUAGUGACCGAGAGGGUAUAGUACCGUGAGGGAAAGGGGAAAAGAAGAACGGGAUGGGAGUGAAAUAGAACCUGAGACCCUGCACUUAAAAGCUGUGGAAGCACAUUUCUUGUGUGACCGCGUACUUUUUGUAGAACGGGCCAACGAGUUACGUUAAGUAGCAAGGUUAAGCACUUAAGGUGCGGAGCCGUAGCGAAAGCGAGUUUUAACUGAGCGUUCAGUUACUUGACGUAGACCCGAAACCGGGCGACC